CGAAAAACCUUACCUACCCUUGACAUGGUCGGAAUCCUGAAGAGAUUUAGGAGUGCUCGAAAGAGAACCGACACACAGGUGCUGCAUGGCUGUCGUCAGCUCGUGUCGUGAGAUGUUGGGUUAAGUCCCGCAACGAGCGCAACCCUUGUCAUUAGUUGCUACGAAAGGGCACUCUAAUGAGACUGCCGGUGACAAACCGGAGGAAGGUGGGGAUGACGUCAAGUCCUCAUGGCCCUUAUGGGUAGGGCUUCACACGUCAUACAAUGGUACAUACAGAGGGCUGCAACCCGCGAGGGGGAGCUAAUCCCAGAAAGUGUAUCGUAGUCCGGAUUGUAGUCUGCAACUCGACUACAUGAAGUUGGAAUCGCUAGUAAUCGCGGAUCAGCAUGUCGCGGUGAAUACGUUCCCGGGUCUUGUACACACCGCCCGUCACACCAUGGGAGCGGGUUUUACCAGAAGUGGGUAGCCUAACCGCAAGGAGGGCGCUUACCACGGUAGGAUUCGUGACUGGGGUGAAGUCGUAACAAGGUAGGCGUAGUGCU
rnacentral:rRNA from 1 species